AAAGUAUUAUGUGGGACCUCAAGCAAGCCUCCUUAAAAAAGGAAGGAGUGACCUUCUGAGUGUCAGAAAUGUGCUAGAUCAAUGGCAGGAUUUUCGCUGAUGCCAGUAGAGCUUGCCUCCAUGACUGGAGUUGGGUAGUACUCACUGUCACAAAC
rnacentral:snoRNA from 1 species